AGUGAACGCUGGCGGUAGGCCUAACACAUGCAAGUCGAACGGCAGCACAGUAAGAGCUUGCUCUUACGGGUGGCGAGUGGCGGACGGGUGAGGAAUACAUCGGAAUCUACUUUUUCGUGGGGGAUAACGUAGGGAAACUUACGCUAAUACCGCAUACGACCUACGGGUGAAAGCAGGGGAUCUUCGGACCUUGCGCGAUUGAAUGAGCCGAUGUCGGAUUAGCUAGUUGGCGGGGUAAAGGCCCACCAAGGCGACGAUCCGUAGCUGGUCUGAGAGGAUGAUCAGCCACACUGGAACUGAGACACGGUCCAGACUCCUACGGGAGGCAGCAGUGGGGAAUAUUGGACAGUGGGCGCAAGCCUGAUCCAGCCAUACCGAGUGGGUGAAGAAGGCCUUCGGGUUGUAAAGCCCUUUUGUUGGGAAAGAAAAGCAGCAGGUUAAUACCCCGCUGUUCUGACGGUACCCAAAGAAUAAGCACCGGCUAACUUCGU
rnacentral:rRNA from 1 species